ACUAGAGGGCGCUCUGGCACUGUUGGGAAAGAGGACCCUAAAAUGGAGCCCAGCGAGAGGAAGCAGAAGGAAAAACAAGAACCAAAAACUAUCAGAAACAUUGAGGCUAGACUACAGCGAUGUUUAACUCGCAAGAGGCGGCUUCUCUGUCCUUUUUUCUGAGCAUGGGGACAAAACUGUCCUGUUUUCUGAGGGCAGCUGACCUCGCCUGAGUCCUGGCUGUAGACUGAGUUUCCUGCAGCAGGCAGGACCCGGCUUCCUGCAAGCUUGCAUAGAUGAUAAGGUCCAAGGUAUAGGAAAUCCUGAUAGCAGUGACCGGAAUGUCCGAGAUCUUUAAAGACUUGGUUUGAAGAAACUUGAAGACGUCAUCGCUGAGAUCUUCUGAGGUCAGCUUCUGAAGGACUCUCCUCGCGUACGGCCCUGCAACUCCCAGGACCCCAAGCUCAUCGGUUACGUUUUGAAUUUCCACAUCAUAUCCACCUCUGAAGGCUGCUUCUUCAAUCCAUCUGCAUUGGGGUCAUAAGCCUGGAUACUAAACACGGGGACACUGAGAUGACUCAGAGCAUGAGGGCUCCUUCCACCGAGCCUGACGAUCUGAGCUCAUUCCCUAGGACUCUCGUGGUGGGAGGAAAGGAGGGAACUGGCUCCAGCAGGUCAUCCUCUGACCCCUGCGCAUGUAUCAUGGCAUCUGAAUGCCCUCAUACACACACCGAUCAGUCAGUCAGUCAAUCAAUCAAUCAACUAAUCAAUUAAUCAGUGUAAGAAAUAUUAAGUCUAAAUCGGCACUCACUGUCCCCACACCAGUACCCCUGGGGAAACAAUUCUACUCUUACUGAAACAAAAAUAACCUUUUCAGUAAAG
rnacentral:lncRNA from 1 species